CCCGAAAUAAGCUUGGAUUGGGAGAGCGUUAGACUGAAAGAUCUAAAGGGUUCCUGGUUCCAAUCCCGGGUUUUGGCA